GUGACCGCUCGUGUCCCGAUUGAUGAUAGUCAGGAUGCGGGAGGUAAAGUCCGGGCUCCUCCGGAAAAGAUGCCGGGUAAUAACCGGGCAGUAAGGGAAGGUGUGUAUACUUGAACAAUCAAGUUUUACGCAUACCCCCUGAGCUGACAGACAGUGCUACAGAAAAUUACCGCCAAUUACAAGGAUUGGUAAGGGUGAAAAGGUGGGGUAAGAGCCCACCGCGCUUUUGGCAACAAAGGCGGCAUAAGUAAACCUCAUCUGGAGCAAGACCGCAUAGCAGUUGAUUUUCCGGGUCGUAUACUGCGGGUAGGUCGCUGGAGACAUUGAGUAAUCAGUGUCGCGGAUAGAUGGUCACGGGAAACGUAAGCGGUAACGCAGACGUUUCUUUCCAGAACCCGGCUUAUUCGUU
rnacentral:RNase_P_RNA from 1 species